CGAACGCUGGCGGCGUGCCUAAUACAUGCAAGUCGAGCGAAGUUUUUCUGGUGCUUGCACCGGACAAACUUAGCGGCGAACGGGUGAGUAACACGUAAAGAACCUGCCUCAUAGACUGGGACAACUAUUGGAAACGAUAGCUAAUACCGGAUAAUAGCAUUAACUGCAUGGUUGAUGUUUAAAAGUUGGUUUUGCUAACACUAUGAGAUGGCUUUGCGGUGCAUUAGCUAGUUGGUGGGGUAAAGGCCUACCAAGGCGACGAUGCAUAGCCGACCUGAGAGGGUGAUCGGCCACACUGGGACUGAGACACGGCCCAGACUCCUACGGGAGGCAGCAGUAGGGAAUCUUCCGCAAAGGGCGAAAGCCUGACGGAGCAACGCCGCGUGAGUGAAGAAGGAUUUCGGUUCGUAAAGCUCUGUUGUUAGGGAAGAAUGAUUGUGUAGUAACUAUACACAGUAGAGACGGUACCUAACCAGAAAGCCACGGCUAACUACGUG
rnacentral:rRNA from 1 species